AGAGAGAACAUUUUAGUGUUUCCAGGUGGGUGCAAGGUGUGAGGUGAGAAAAAAAGACUAUUUUAGAGGUCUCCCAGGUCUUUAAUAUCCUCACAUGAGAAGUGUUUCUUGCUGUGAUGUUCAUAAUCCUUGAAUCCAGAAAAGAGGCAAAUCUGUUCAGAAGGAUCUGCUUGAGUUUGCAGAUAGUCUGGAAAAGCAAGAAAGAUGGGAGCUGCCCUGAUCUUUCAACUGGAAAUCACAAUGUACUUCAUCCACUGCCUCCCAUGGCCCAACUUUGUGUUGUCCACAUGCGCCACAAACAAGAGUUUCCAAAAGCUACACAGAAUCACACAGGAUGUAAUCCAGCUGGUCUGCAGGGACAUGGAGGAGUCAGGCUGUUCAGCUCCGAUGGAGACAUUCAACUGCCAGGGCUAACGCUGGGUCAGACGAAUCUCUCCCACCAGGCUUUGGACACUCAUCUUACUCAGAUGGCUGUUAAUGUGCUGGCUGGACCAAGCAGCGUCAGCCCAAGCCAAUGAUGAUGCUUUACAGUGUGUCACUCACUUCUUUGAGAGCUGUGCUCUUUGCAAUACUGACUGGAGAUGAUUCCGGCAAGUUAAAUUUUUCAUUUGUUGAUUUCCACUGCAUCAGAAAUAUAGCAGUAAAAUACAA